GCGAAAGCCUGACGGAGCAAUACCGCGUGAGGGAGGAAGGCUCUUGGGUUGUAAACCUCUUUUCUCAGGGAAUAAAAAAAUGAAGGUACCUGAGGAAUAAGCAUCGGCUAACUCCGUGCCAGCAGCCGCGGUAAUACGGAGGAUGCAAGCGUUAUCCGGAAUGAUUGGGCGUAAAGGGUCCGCAGGUGGCAAUGUGUGUCUGCUGUCAAAGAAUGAGGCUUAACCUCAUCAAGGCAGUGGAAACUACAUAGCUAGAGUACGGUCGGGGUAGAAGGAAUUCCUGGUGUAGCGGUGAAAUGCGUAGAGAUCAGGAAGAACACCGGUGGCGAAAGCGCUCUGCUAGGCCUGUACUGACACUGAGGGACGAAAGCUAGGGGAGCG
rnacentral:rRNA from 1 species